CUGAAAGAGGAUGGCAAUCUCGCUGAAGCUGUUUCUUUUUCUUCACAACAUAUAGGAAAAUGUUGCCCCUUUUUGGAGUGGUGCAUAGGGCGAUGACUAUAGAUUUUCAUCCGUAACUCCCAACACCCUACUCAGGUUUUCAUCACUAUGCAGUUGUCUUGACAAAUAAGUUUCACUUCAUCUGUCAUUUCUGACUUCACUGGGAUAAUCAGGCCUCAUCCAGUCUUGGCAUGAAUG
rnacentral:lncRNA from 1 species